rnacentral:lncRNA from 10 species
GGUGGCCAUGGUGGAGAUCAGCAGCAGCUUCCCCACCCAGGACAAGGCCUAGGCUCCCAGGGUGAUGGAGAAUGCUUCAGAGACAGAAAAAUGUGAGCCCUAGAAGUGGGAGGCUGACAGCCUGCAUGAGAACUAUCCACUGUACCUGCAUGUGGACUCGAAGACAGUCUCCGGGAAUAUGGGCUGAGGAAUCCACAGUGUCAGAUGAGGAAACUGAGACCCAAAAAGAGACAGCAACUGGCCCAGGGUCACCAGCAUGCAGAUGCCUGCUAUGAUGUCUCUGCUUCUUGUGUCUGUGGGCCUCAUGGAAGCACUUCAGGCCCAGAGCCACCCCAUCACACGACGAGAC